AUUGAACGCUGGCGGCAGGCUUAACACAUGCAAGUCGAGCGGAGAUGAGGUGCUUGCACCUUAUCUUAGCGGCGGACGGGUGAGUAAUGCUUAGGAAUCUGCCUAUUAGUGGGGGACAACAUUCCGAAAGGAAUGCUAAUACCGCAUACGUCCUACGGGAGAAAGCAGGGGAUCUUCGGACCUUGCGCUAAUAGAUGAGCCUAAGUCGGAUUAGCUAGUUGGUGGGGUAAAGGCCUACGGAGGCGACGAUCUGUAGCGGGUCUGAGAGGAUGAUCCGCCACACUGAGACUGGGACACGGACCAGACUCCUACGGGAGGCAGCAGUGGCGAAUAGUGGACAAUGGGGGGAACCCUGAUCCAGCCAUGCCGCGUGUGUGAAGAAGGCCUUAUGGUUGUAAAGCACUUUAAGCGAGGAGGAGGCUACUGAGACUAAUACUCUUGGAUAGUGGACGUUACUCGCAGAAUAAGCACCGGCUAACUCUGUGCCAGCCGCCGCGGUAA
rnacentral:rRNA from 1 species